CCUACGGGGGGCAGCAGUGGGGAAUUUUGCGCAAUGGGCGAAAGCCUGACGCAGCAACGCCGCGUGAGUGAUGAAGGCUUUCGGGUCGUAAAGCUCUGUCAAGGGGAAAGAAGUGUAUUGUGGCUAAUAUCCGCGAUACUUGACGGUACCCCUGAAGGAAGCACCGGCUAACUCCGUGCCAGCAGCCGCGGUAAUACGGGGGGUGCAAGCGUUGUUCGGAAUUAUUGGGCGUAAAGCGCGUGUAGGCGGUUUGUUAAGUCUGAUGUGAAAGCCCUGGGCUCAACCCAUGAAGUGCAUUGGAUACUGGCAGACUUGAAUACGGGAGAGGGUAGUGGAAUUCCUGGUGUAGGAGUGAAAUCCGUAGAUAUCAGGAGGAACACCGGUGGCGAAGGCGGCUACCUGGACCGAUAUUGACGCUGAGACGCGAAAGCGUGGGUAGCAAACAGGAUUAGAUACCCUGGUAGUC
rnacentral:rRNA from 1 species